ACCUUAAGCAGUAGUGGAAUCUUCCACAAUGGGCGAAAGCCUGAUGGAGCAACGCCGCGUGAGUGAAGAAGGAUUUCGGUUCGUAAAACUCUAGUUGUAAGGGAAGAACAAGUACAGUAGUAACUGGCUGUACCUUGACGGUACCUUAUUAGAAAGCCACGGCUAACUACGUGCCAGCAGCUACGGUAAUAGGUAGGUGGCCAGCGUUGUCAAGGAAUUAUUGGGCGUAAUGCGCGCGCAGGUGGUUUCUUAAGUCUGAUGUGAAAGCCCACGGCUCAACCGUGGAGGGUCAUUGGAAACUGGGAGACUUGAGUGCAGAAGAGGAUAGUGGAAUUCCAUGUGAAAAAAGUAAAAAUUAAGGGUG
rnacentral:rRNA from 1 species